rnacentral:lncRNA from 1 species
UUACAGCUGGAGUCUUGGCUUGGACUAAACGUCUUCCUUUUCCUGUUUUGUUCAGGGCUCCCAAAUCUGUAUUUUCUCAGCAUCUGGCGCUCCCAGUGCUACGCAUUCUUCCUAGCCGGAGAUCGGGAGCAGCGGCGAGGGAGGGCAGGAACAGAGAACCGAGCACUCUUUUGUGCGCUCAUGUCUAGCGGUAACACUUUUUGGCCACCCCAAACCUGCGCCUUUCCAACCGGCGCUGCUGUCUCUCCCGGAGAGGGAAGCCGCCGCGCCUUCCCCCCUGCCGGGCAGCACGCACCCGCGGCCGCCGCCCAUCGCGGCCAGGGGCCGGUAGGACACGAGCGCGGCUCAGCCGUGAGGGCGGGGCGGGGCCGGGGCGGGGCCCUCCCGUGUGCCGCGGUGCUUCCGUCCGAGCCGUGUCAGCUUCCGCCCCGCGCUGCCGCUCUUCUCCCAGCUGUCGACAGCUCGCUUGGGCCCCGACCAAUUUACAUCUUGGCAUGUUUUGUUUGGACUGCCCGUGCCCCACAUGGACAUGACCCCCUAAGGAUCCUGAAGGUGAUCAGUGGCAAUGGGAAAGACAUUAUAAGCAUCUCUCAGCUGCCAAGUAAAGAAGGUAAAACCUGUCCACACGAAAGACUUAUUAGCCAAUAA